CCCUUAGAUGUCCUGGGCCGCACGCGCGCUACGCUGAGUGUCUGAGAUACGAGUCUGCCUGGUCCGGCAAGGUCUAGGUAAUCGCUAAAAGACACAUCAUGCUUGGGAUAGAUUAUUGCAAAUAUUAAUCUUGAACGAGGAAUUCCUAGUAAGCGCAAGUCAACAGCUUGCGUUGAUUACGUCCCUGCCCUUUGUACACACCGCCCGUCGCUACUACUGAUUGGAUGUUUAAGCGAGGUUCUCGAACUGCUAGCGACUUAGCUUCGGUGAGGUCGCAGUGUGGGAAGUGAACCUAGCUUUGGUGUCUAGAGGAAGUAAAAGUCGUAACA
rnacentral:rRNA from 1 species